AUUGGCUGUUAUCUGCAGCUGAUGAGCUUCAAAAAGAGUGAAACCCCUUAGGUUCUGUAGUACUGGCCUGUAAGUCU
rnacentral:hammerhead_ribozyme from 1 species